rnacentral:misc_RNA from 1 species
GAGAGAGAGAGAGAGAAUUUUUGCCAUUAUCUCAUUUGAUGGUUUAAAACUGUGAUGUACAAGUAUUUAUAUCCAAAAUGCACAACAGAAUAACAGAGGUGUAACAAUUUACAGUAUAAGUUCCAGCUCAUCCAUAACUGUUUCUCAACUCCUGCCAAUCAAUCAACAGCCCAGCCAAUCAGAAUUCUCAGUUUGUUGCGGAUUCAGUUACUUCUGCCUCUGCUUAUUUCCUUCAACGCAUCGUUUACCCUUACUCUGUAACAAUACUCCCCUCCUAAAGAUAGAUUCCUUGUCCCCAAGGAAAAAUAAGGAAAUCUCUGCUGAAAAUCAUCAGCAAACUCCCAUGUAGCAUCUGCUGGACAUGAUCCUUGGCAAUGAACCAAAAAUUGAG